AAGGGAAUCUUUCCACAAUGGACGAAAGUCUGAUGGAGCAACGCCGCGUGAGUGAAGAAGGGUUUCGGCUCGUAAAACUCUGUUGUUAAAGAAGAACAUAUCUGAGAGUAACUGUUCAGGUAUUGACGGUAUUUAACCAGAAAGCCACGGCUAACUACGUGCCAG
rnacentral:rRNA from 1 species